GACGAACGCUGGCGGCGUGCCUAAUACAUGCAAGUCGAACGCAGUGGGGACGGGUGAGUAACACGUGGGUAACCUCCCAUCUGAGGUGAUAACACUUGGAAACUGGUGCUAAACCGAUACUGCUUGAUCGUCCUGCGGUGCAUUAGCUAGUUGGUGAGGUAACGGCUCACCAAGGCCACGAUGCAUAGCGGACCUGAGAGGGUGAUCGGCCACACGGGGACUGAGACACGGCCCAGACUCCUACGGGAGGCAGCAGUAGGGAAUCUUCGGCAAUGGACGAAAGUCUGACCGAGCAACGCCGCGUGAGUGAAGAAGGUUUUCGGAUCGUAAAACUCUGUUGUUAGAGAAGCGGUAUCUAACCAGAAAGCCACGGCUAACUACGUGCCAGCAGCCGCGGUAAUUC
rnacentral:rRNA from 1 species